rnacentral:rRNA from 1 species
CUACGGGAGGCUGCAGUGAGGAAUAUUACACAAUGGGGGGAACCCUGAUGCAGCAACGCCGCGUGGAGGAUGACGCAUUUCGGUGUGUAAACUCCUUUUAUAUGUCAAGAAAAUGACGGUAGCAUAUGAAUAAGCACCGGCUAACUCCGUGCCAGCAGCCGCGGUAAUACGGAGGGUGCAAGCGUUACUCGGAAUCACUGGGCGUAAAGGACGCGUAGGCGGGCUUGUAAGUCAGGUGUGAAAUCCUACAGCUUAACUGUAGAACUGCACUUGAAACUACGAGCCUAGAGUAUGGGAGGGGGAGAUGGAAUUAGUGGUGUAGGGGUAAAAUCCGUAGAUAUCACUAGGAAUACCUAAAGCGAAGGCGAUCUCCUGGAACAUAACUGACGCUAAGGCGUGAAAGCGUGGGGAGCAAACAGGAUUAGAUACCCUCGUAGUC